CACGUAGGGUGCGAGCGUUGUCCGGAAUUAUUGGGCGUAAAGAGCUCGUAGGCGGUGUGUCGCGUCGGCCGUGAAAACCUGCAGCUUAACUGUGGGCGUGCGGUCGAUACGGGCAUCACUGGAGUUCGGCAGGGGAGACUGGAAUUCCUGGUGUAGCGGUGAAAUGCGCAGAUAUCAGGAGGAACACCGGUGGCGAAGGCGGGUCUCUGGGCAUGUCCUGACGCUGAGGAGCGAAAGUGUGGGGAGCGAACAGG
rnacentral:rRNA from 1 species